rnacentral:rRNA from 1 species
UACGUACCGUCCAAACGUUAUUCGGAAUUACUGGGCUUAAAGGGUGCGUAGGCGGCGCGGUAAGUCGGGUGUGAAAUCUCGGGGCUUAACUCCGAAACUGCAUUCGAUACUGCCGUGCUUGAGGACUGGAGAGGAGACUGGAAUUUACGGUGUAGCGGUGAAAUGCGUAGAUAUCGUAAGGAAGACCAGUGGCGAAGGCGGGUCUCUGGACAGUUCCUGACGCUGAGGCACGAAGGCCAGGGGAGCAAACGGG